UUAAGCUACUAAGAGCGUAGGGGGAAUGCCUUGGCACCAAGAGCCGAUGAAGGACGUGAUAAGCUGCGAAAAGCUACGGGGAGGAGCACAUAUCCAAAGAGCCGUAGAUAUCCGAAUGAGGGAACUCAAUCUAGGUAAAUGCUAGAUUAUCAUCACAUGAGUAAAGUAGUGUGAUAGAGGGGAACAUGGGGAACUGAAACAUCUUAGUACCCAUAGGAAGAGAAAAUAAAAAUGAUUCCGUAAGUAGUGGCGAGCGAAAGCGGAAAAGCCCAAACCUGAGUGAGCAAUCACUAACAGGGGUUAGGACAUGCAACAAAUUCCAAGAAAGAGUGUAGUAGAAGCGUUUUGGGAAAGCACACCAAAGAGAGUGAAAGUCUCGUAUACGAAACACGAAAGAAGGAAGAGUAUGAUCCAGAGUAAGACAGGACACGAGAAAUCCUGUGUGAAUGAGCGGGGACCAUCCCGUAAGGCUAAAUACUCCCGAGAGACCGAUAGUGGACAAGUACCGUGAGGGAAAUGAAAUAGAACCUGAAACCCUAUGCUUACAAGCAGAUAGAGCACGUUAAAGUGUGAUAUCGUACUUUUUGCAGAACGGUCCGGCGAGUUACUGUAUAUGGCAAGGAGAAGAGUUUAAGACUAAUAUCCGAAGCGAAAGCGAGUCUGAAUAGGGCGAAGUUAAGUCAUAUGUAGUAGACCCGAAACCGAGUGACCUAUCCAUGUCCAGGAUGAAGCUAGAGUGAAAUCUAGUGGAGGUCCGCACCAGUAGACGUUGAAAAGUCUUUGGAUGAGGUGUGGAUAGCGGAGAAAUUCUAAUCGAACUCGGAUAUAGCUGGUUCUCCUCGAAAUAGCUUUAGGGCUAGCCUUGAACAAAAACCGUAUGGGGGUAGAGCACUGAAUGAGCUAGGGGCCAAACAAAGGUUACCAAACUUUAUCAAACUGCGAAUACCAUAAGGGAAGUUCAGGAGUCAGACUACGGGAGCUAAGUUCCGUGGUCAAAAGGGAAAGAGCCCAGACCGUCAAUUAAGGUCCCAAAGAUAUAACUAAGUGGAAAACGAUGUGAUUUUGCGCAGACAACCAGGAUGUUGGCUUAGAAGCAGCCAUUCAUUUAAAGAGUGCGUAAUAGCUCACUGGUCGAGUGAAGUUGCGCGGAAAAUUACCGGGGCUAAGUUAUACACCGAAAUUGCGGAUUCAUUAAGAAAUUAAUGAGUGGUAGAGGAGCGUUCUAUACAGGAUGAAGUAUGAUCGAGAGGACAUAUGGACAGUAUAGAAGAGAGAAUGCCGGAAUGAGUAGCGAGAGCAAAGUGAGAAUCUUUGCCGUCGAAAAUCUAAGGUUUCCUGAGGAAGGUUCGUCCGCCCAGGGUAAGUCGGGACCUAAGGUGAGGCCGAAGGGCGUAGCCGAUGGACAGCAGGUUAAGAUUCCUGCACCAGUAUACAUGUAUAAUGCAUAAGAGGACACAUUUGAAGAAGAUGAGCGAGGAAGAGGAAAAACUCGUAUGGCAACAUAUAGUGAAAUAAAGUAACGAAUCAUCAAGAGGCAAGUGGCGAGAAAAGUCUUAUGUAGUUGUGUAGACUGCCCGUACCGCAAACCGACACAGGUAGAUGAGGAGAGGAUCCUAAGACGAGCGGGAGAAGCAUUGUUAAGGAACUCGGCAAAUUGACCCCGUAACUUAGGGAUAAGGGGUGCUGGUGUAAAAACCAGUCGCAGUAAAUAGGCCCAAGCAACUGUUUAACAAAAACACAGGUUUCUGCUAAAUCGCAAGAUGAAGUAUAGGAGCUGACUCCUGCCCAGUGCUGGAAGGUUAAGGGGAAAGGUUAGGAAUAAUUCAUUAUAUCCGAAGCUUUGAACUCAAGCCCCAGUGAACGGCGGCCGUAACUAUAACGGUCCUAAGGUAGCGAAAUUCCUUGUCAGGUAAGUUCUGACCCGCACGAAAGGUGUAAUGAUUUGGGCACUGUCUCAACAAUGUACCCGGCGAAAUUGUAGUACUAGUGAAGAUGCUAGUUACCUGCGACAAGACGGAAAGACCCCAUGGAGCUUUACUAUAGCCUGAUAUUGGGCUUUGGUAUCUUAUGUACAGGAUAGGUGGGAGACGAAGAGAUUAAGACGCUAGUCUUAAAGGAGUCACCCUUGGAAUACCACCCUUAAGAUA
rnacentral:rRNA from 1 species